rnacentral:lncRNA from 1 species
GGUUGUGUCUUCUCUUUAUUGCAUCAUUCCCCAAAGGCUCCUGAGCCCAAUGUGAAAGGAGUCCACAUUGCUAGUAGACUGCUGGCUGCCCCUCUUCUCCUCUGUUCACCUCUAUCACCUGCUACAAGAGUCACCUGGGAGGAAAUCAUUGCUGUGAAGAUGUCUGCCUAUCCCUGGUUUCUUGAUGUCUGGAUAUAUGUUCUGGUACUGUGGGCAACAGAAACAGCACAAUGCAGUGCUUUCUCAACUUGCACAAUCUUAGGAAAUACUUUGGGGGCUUGUUAAAAAUAUAAAUUCUCUGCCCCUCUGCCUACACCAAGCAAAUCGGAAUCUUCAGAAGAGGGAUCUGGGAAGCAACGUGAACAAAGCCAGGCAAAUUUGGUCAACUAUCAGCAUGACAAGGU